UGUGUGUGUGUGUAUGUGUGUAUAUACACAUAUGUGUGUGUGUGUGUAUAUACAUACACACACACACACACA